GAUGCUAGAGUAGAACCGGUCUGGACCUUGUUAAUGUAACUGCUGCCAGCUUUCCUGUAAGGAUCCCCAUCCAGGUGGUGAGAGGCCUUGCCUGGAAGAAGAACAGGUUACACCAAGAUGGGGAAUGGAGCAGUGUGCAGCUGUCACCAGCCAGGCGGAGACUUUAGGAUUCACUUCUGGACAGGGACAGGGAAAACAUUUUCCUUUCAAUGCCUCGAGGCCCUUCAGCAACUGUAGGAGCAGGCGUGGUGUUGUCGCUACUGUCAAAUCCUGGACCCGGCAGCCGACUUUUUCCUGACUUGGACAUGAGCAGCAGAAGCAAGGGAAGUUUCAAGACACACAGUAAAGUUUGCUUCAGUCCAGGGAUCACAGUGCACAAAACCCGAGCAUACUUCUGAGCUCUCCGUGAUGUUGAAAAAGUGGCUGUCACAGUGGAAGGAGCAUGUCUGUUUGGGACUGUGAGUCACAUAGAAGCCACUCUGGAAGAGAAUCUUCUUCAAGAAUGACCAAAUGCUUAACCUGCCUUGUGCCCAGCUCAGUGCAGAGAGAAGUUACUACACUGAA
rnacentral:lncRNA from 1 species